rnacentral:lncRNA from 1 species
UUUGCACAUUGGAAAGUUUCAGUUCGGUUUUGCUUUUUAGUAGUCACUGGCUCACUGCUUCUGACUCUGCACUAUUAAACAGCUGCAGUGCUCCUAUCUCAAGAACAUAAAAAGAACCAUCAAGCCAUCAAAUCCAGAAUAAUAAUAAUCGAGUCUCAUUUUGGAAUGAGAAUUACAUCACCUGCAUCUAACGCAUUUCCUUCAAAUCAAACAAAUCCAGAAUAAUAAUAAUCGAGUCUCAUUUUGGAAUGAGAAUGACAUCACCUGCAUCUAACGCAUUUCCUUCAAAUCAAAGCCCUAACUACUCUCAGAAUAGAGUGUAAUACUCGAGUUCUAGGGCUGAUCUUUCUGAUAAGUGAAAUAAAGGUAAUAAUCUAGAUAUGGAGUGACGGAGACAUUUUGAAAUUUAGGGU